GGAUCAGUGGUGUCAACAUGUUUCUGAGGAAGGUGAUUGACUUGAAACUAUGCCAACCUGAGCUCC
rfam:Mesocricetus auratus contig197540, whole genome shotgun sequence.